CAGGGAAUCUUGCGCAAUGGACGGGAGUCCGACGCAGCAACGCCGCGUGGGUGAAGACGGCCUUCGGGUUGUAAAGCCCUUUUCUGGGGGAAGAGAAAGGACGGUACUCCAGGAAUAAGUGUCGGCUAACUACGUGCCAGCAGCCGCGGUAAUACGUAGGACACGAGCGUUAUCCGGAUUUACUGGGCGUAAGGCGCCUGUAGGCGGUUCUUCAAGUCGUUUGUGAAAGCCCUGGGCUCAACCUGGGGAGGCCAAGCGAUACUGGAGGACUUGAGGGUGACAGAGGGGAGUGGAAUUUCCGGUGUAGCGGUAAAAUGCGCAGAUAUCGGGAGGAACACCAGUGGCGAAGGCGGCUCCCUGGGUCACCCCUGACGCUGAGAGGCGAAAGCUAGGGGAGCAAACAG
rnacentral:rRNA from 1 species